rnacentral:rRNA from 1 species
AAAAACAUCGCCCCCGGAAUAAGAUCGAGGGGUCUGACCUGCCCGGUGACUUUUGAAGUUAAACGGCUGCAGUACUCUGACUGUGCAAAGGUAGCAUAAUCAUUAGCCUGUUAAUUCCAGGCUGGAAUCAAUGGUUGGACGAUAGGAGUUCUGUCUUUUUUUAUUAAUUUGAAUUUUGUAUUGGAGUGAAGAAACUUUAAUGUUAUAGUGGGACGAGAAGACCCUAUAGAGCUUGAAGCUUGUUGUUGAGUUUUAGUUAGCAAGGAGUUUUUAGUUGGGGCAACUAUUUUUAGAAUUAGGCAUGAAAGUGAAGGUUAAUAAUUUUAAUUUGUUUUGGGUGACCCAGAAAUUUUUGGUAAUUAGAAAAAGUUACCUUAGGGAUAACAGCGUAAUUUCUUUUGAGAGUACGUAUUGACAAAGAAGUUUGCGACCUCGAUGUUGGAUUAAGUUUUCCUGGAAGUGCAGCAGCUUCCGAUGGUUGGUUUGUUCAACCAUAAAAAUCUUACGUGAUCU